AGUAAGAUAAGCUAAUUAAGCUAGUGGGUUCAUACCCCAAAAAUGAGUUAUUCUCUCUUACUA
rnacentral:tRNA from 1 species